GGAGAAAAAAACAUCCUUACCUCUACAAAUCUCCCCCUCCUCCAUACCACUAUUAGAAUUCUCUAUCACGGAGAACACGAUGUACACAAGAAGACAAAGACAAGACGAAACCAUUACUGGUGAUUGUAAUAAGAGAAAAAAAAGAUGAAAGAGAGAAUCCAAGCAGAUAAAGCUUUCUCAUUAUUUUCAAAGUAUUUUUAUAUUUUUAUUGUAAUAAAUUUGAAACUUAUGUGUGUUGAUCAAUCAAUGUUUCAUGCAUGCAAUCAGUAGUCAUAUAUGUUUGUAAGUUUAAUUAUGUCUUGUUUCUUUCUGAUUUUUUCAUGUGCAAGUUUGCUUUGUCCCAAUUAAUAAAAGAGAGUUUCUUAAUAAAAAGAAGUUGCUUAA